UACGGGGGGAGCAAGCGUUGUUCGGAUUUACUGGGCGUAAAGGGCGCGUAGGCGGCCACGAAAGGUCAGUUGGGAAAUCUCUGGGCUUAACUCAGAACGGUCAACUGAUACUGUCGGGCUAGAGUGCAGAAGGGGCAACUGGAAUUCUCGGUGUAGCGGUGAAAUGCGUAGAUAUCGAGAGGAACACCUGCGGCGAAGGCGGGUUGCUGGGCUGACACUGACGCUGAGGCGCGAAAGCUAGGGGAGCGAACGGG
rnacentral:rRNA from 1 species